GUGUUUUGUUUUGAAUUUGAUGAAUGAUUCUGAUUUCAGAUUUUGACGUAUUUAUAAUCCUUGGUUCAAGUUCUAUCUUUCCGUCAGCAUGUGAAUAUUUUCUUUAGUUGACCCAUCUUGAGAGUUCACCAAUUUACAGACAAUAAUUCAGUGAUUUUUCUAUGAUUUAUCCGAACGACGCGUCAAUUACGCCUCGAUUUUGGUUACAGAAUGACAACCCACACUGGCGAUACACCUCCAAACAUCAAAGAUUUAGGGCAAGAUUUCCGGAGAUAUUUGGAGCGAGGCAAAUUUAACGAGGAAAUGACGAAAGCAUUGUUGACUUUAUACACAGAACGGGAAUGGCCCACGAAUCCGAAUGAAUAUAUUUGCAGAAAACUAGCGGAAAAUUGUAAUAUUUCACUUCAGCAAGAUGGCAGUGAAUUGAAAAUUGCCAAGGAGAAAAUCAAAGAUCUCGAGAAUACAGUAGCUAAACUUAAAGAAGAACUAUCGAAAUGCAAGCAAGAGAAAUCUGGCAAAAAAAACAAAGAUUAAAACAACGCAUUCCAAAAUCAAACCCAUUUACAGCAAUAUUUUGCCAUUUUACCUUUUUUCAAAUUACUACGAGCUUACAUAUGUGUAAGUAGAUGAAUUAGAGUAUUAUUCUUUCCAAUCAUUUAUUUAAUUUUGACGAAGUGUUAAAUCAUGAAAAACCUUAUUCCAUAACCCUAUGUACUUAGAUAGUCGGUUUUUAGUUUAAAGUGAAUCCGAUGUAUGUAUGUAUUCAUUACUAUAAUUUAGUGAAUUAGAAUUGACCUGUUUAUAGUGUGCGUUUACCAUUACUACCAUCUUCCAGUUUACUAUUUCAUUCCAAUCUGCAUGAUUUUUGUUACCAUUUGUAAAUAAUUCAUAUUUUUUAAAAAACAGAUCUUCAUAAUAUGUUAUUACUGUUAGUUGCAAUCGUUUAUUUUUAAUAUUUAUGUUGAUUUUAGUUCAUUUUAGAAAAACUUUCUUUGUUUAUAGAAAGAUCCUAUUUUGAUAUCUUCUGUAUUAAAUGGUGUUAUUAUUG